rnacentral:lncRNA from 1 species
GCCUAGUCCCACAGACUGUAUGAGAUAAUCUUUGUUCUUGUAGGUACCAACCAUUGAGGUGAACUAAUUGUUUCCGCAGAAAUAGAUUCCUAGUGAAGUAUUUACUUGAUCAUUUUAAACUUUUUCCUUUUGUAAAAUGAAACACAGGAAUAAUAAACCAGAAAACAUUAAAAUUGGUAAUAUUCAAGAAAGUUGACAUUUCAGAAAGGAAGCCUGGGAAGAGUAGGACAGGAAAACAUGAGAAGUAUAGCAAAGUGAUGAGAGCCCAGAGGUAUUUCCUAGAGAGGACUGCUGUGGUGUCAGCUUAACCAGAAAGUCUGUCCUGCUUGCUAAGAAAGUCGGGGUUAAAGAGGAAAUCCCAGACCCUGAAUGCAGACAAGUCAGAUAAAUCUUGUGUGUAAGCAGGGGUGGUACUUGAGAAGACACCAAGACAAUUGCUGGGUGUCUAGGGCGUGGACACUGAAGUGUUAAAGAUAAACACAUACUUGUAGAAAACAGAAAACUCACAGGCAGAGUUGUACAAAAUUGGUGGGUGUGGCAGGCAGGAAUCUCCUGUAUUCAGUUUCCAAAUUUUCUGUCUUUGAAAUUAUUUCCAUUGGAAAGUGUUUAAGCAUUACUGGGUAAGAGAGAGUGGUUGUGCUUAGCUGAGGGAUCUAAACUACAGUGAGUGUGCAUCCUGGGUUCUCAGCUUCCCACUCGAGCCUUCUUAAACUGCUAUUUAAUCUCUCUCUCUCUCUCUCUCUCUCUCUCUCGUCUCAAGAAUUGAUGUUUCUUUUAAAAUAUGAAUGAAAUUUAAACUUCCCUUGUCAUUUUAGGCCAGAACAUUUUAUGAGCAUUAUCACAGUUACUAAUUUUUUAUUUUUUAAUCUUGUUUUGAAGCUAAUUACUGGCAUUUAGUUCCUUGACUUUGGGAGCAAGUGCUGUUUGUAUGCUUUUGCCGUAAGUUUUCUACAAGGCCGCAGUAGACUCUGCUCCUAACUGAGUGACAGUGUCACAGGUGUGGCAACUCCCUCCUGAAGGAUGGUUUACUCUGCUCGAACACUAAGCACACUGACUGGUUCUUAGGAAGCUUUGUGGUGCCCACAUGUGCCAGGCAGUGCUUGCUUGAGGAAUGGACCAGGCGCACUUAGAAUAGCAGCGGCUUUAGAGUCUCUUGAUUUUAUACAUUUGAUCAUAACCCUCUGACAGCUUCAGAAUCCUGCACAUCUUUUUCUUUUUUUUUAACUGUGGACAUUGGGAGUCUCUGGAAUUGACAGCCUGACAGGCAUUGGAGAGGAGUACAGGAGAUGAUAUGCUUUCAUUCCCUUUGCGAGAACGUAGGAAGUGUGUAAUUAUCUGAAGUGACUGCAUCUUCUUAUAUAUGAAAAUGUCUCUUAAAGGAAGUAGUGCUUAUAAGCCUAAUUGGAUAGGAAAUCAGCCCCAGAUGAGAGGAGCUUAUACAGUGGAAAGCCUGUCUGUCCAUGCCUCUGUGGCUCUGAGGGCCUCACCCCCUCCUGUCUAAGCACAUUGCUCUUAUUCCUGGUGAGAAGGGGUAUUCUGGCUACCAGUUCUUAGGUCUGUCUUCUUUCCCUUGAGACUUCUGUCUUUCUUUUUUUCCUUGUGAGAACAAUUUUAUCGCCCUUUACAAUUCUAGUUAUAUGUACUUGGCUUCAGUGUUUGGAAAUGGGCCCCAGGUAACUGAAAAGGAGCCCUAUUUGCCUAUUGAUGUCUAGUCUUUCCAUUGUUGUUUUUCUAUUACUCUACUCCCCUCUAUUGCACUGAGAGGGAAUGAUAGAUUGCUUCUGACAGGAACAAAAAUGACUUGUUUUUAAGAAGUUAUUAGAAUGCCAGGGGCAGUAACAGGCAGAUGUAGGUGUCUCCAGAAGACCAGUGCAGUGCGUUUGUGCACUUGUUUGCAAAAUUAGUCUUCUUUUCAUUUUCAAAACCUAAUCACUUCUUACCUAUAGUUUUUACAAAAGAAAAGUGAAUAUCCCAAACAGAAACAUGAAUGGUGAUGAUAUGGAAGCAAAGACGAGCUAGGGAAGAAGUCCAAAUGAGAGUGGACGCGACACGCAAUCCUCUUGAGUGCCGUCAUCUCAGAUUUGUGUGGUCCUGCUUGCUGGUCAUAAGGCUUUAUAGAAAAUUGUCAGAUCCUCGAAGGCAUUAACAGCUCAUUCCUAGUCUCAUAGGAAGUCCUGGGUCCCUUUCUAUUCUCUUGUAGUUGUUUAACCAUGGCACCGGUGCCACCGCCACCCUCAGGUACUGUGUCAGGGAGUCAAAUACCAUGCUGACACAAUAAUGCUGUAAUUUGAAUUAACAAGAUUUGGAACCAAGAAGCCUCCUGAAAGAGGCAAGGGCCAUUAGUCUCAAUUUUUUUCUUGAGAUCUUUAUGUGAUACUUUUUUAG